rnacentral:sRNA from 1 species
UUCUGGAUUGGCAAUGGAACAUUCCACGA